rnacentral:rRNA from 1 species
CCAGCUGACCAAAUCGCCAUGGAUGCACCGGAUCUUGCCAGUUCUCGGAAGCUAAGCUGGUUUGAACCUGGUCAGCGCUUGGAUGGGUGACUACCACCAGUGUUUGCCAGGUGCUGUAGGC